rnacentral:lncRNA from 1 species
CAAAAUUUACCCUUCAUUUUUCCUGGAAGCAUGGGAUUAUGUUUUACACUUCAUUAGCAUCAUAUUAGGUCAUACUCAUUGCAUACUGCAUUAGUGACAUGGAGAUCAGGUUUCGAUCACUCCUUAACAGAAGGAGCCUACACAUAGCAAGAUUGAGAAUUGGACUUCCUUUUCUAAGUAUACAAGUCUCAAGGGUCUCAGGGGGGUCCAAGUAUCUUAUUAUGGUCCCCGUUCAUCAGUGAAGGAUUCAAAGCUAUCAGAGUGUUCAUCUGGAUUUAAUCAGAAAUUAGGGUUUCAUGGCUACCUGCAACAGGCAAUGUUUGGUUGGAAGUAGAGGAUCUCAUCCAUGUCAUGAUUAGAGAGGCAUCUUGGCCUAGGAAUAUUCACAAUUAUCUCAGAAAGAUUCAUUGGCAAUCAGUGCAAUCAGUUCCCGAUCAAUUUUGCCCUAAAACUAAGGUUUGGUAUAAAAUCAGUUUAUUUCUGAUUCUUUGGGUGAAACUCUUUUCCAUGGCCCUCCAUAUGUCCACAAGGGUCUACAUAAAAAAAAUCAGCUCUUUAUUUGAGCUAGAAGUGCUUCAAUUGAUCAAUGGAAUCGGGAAUCAGACAAUUUGGGAAAAGUCAACUGUGGGGCCA